rnacentral:rRNA from 1 species
AGCGAACGCUGGCGGCAGGCUUAACACAUGCAAGUCGAGCGGGCCCUUCGGGGUCAGCGGCGGACGGGUGAGUAACGCGUGGGAACGUGCCUUCUGGUUCGGAAUAACUCAGGGGAACUUGAGCUAAUACCGGAUACGCCCUUUUGGGGAAAGGUUUACUGCCGGAAGAUCGGCCCGCGUCUGAUUAGCUAGUUGGUGGGGUAACGGCCUACCAAGGCGACGAUCAGUAGCUGGUCUGAGAGGAUGAUCAGCCACACUGGGACUGAGACACGGCCCAGACUCCUACGGGAGGCAGCAGUGGGGAAUAUUGGACAAUGGGCGCAAGCCUGAUCCAGCCAUGCCGCGUGAGUGAUGAAGGCCUUAGGGUUGUAAAGCUCUUUUAUCCGGGACGAUAAUGACGGUACCGGAGGAAUAAGCCCCGGCUAACUUCGUG